rnacentral:rRNA from 1 species
GCUUGUCUCAAAGAUUAAGCCAUGCAUGUCUAAGUAUAAGCACCCUUAUACUGCGAAACUGCGUACAGCUCAUUAUAUCAGCAAUUAUUUAUUUGAAGGUCACCUAUUACAUGGAUAACCGUGGUAAUUCUAGAGCUAAUACAUGCGAAAAGUCGGCGCAAGUCGAUGUAUUUAUUAGAUAAAAACCAAUGCCUCGUGCUUUUGGUGAGUCAUGAUAACUGCGCGGAUCGCAUGGCCUUGCGCCGGCGACGCUUCAUUCAAAUUUCUGCCCUAUCAACUUUCGAUGGUAAGAUAGAGGCUUACCAUGGUGUUAACGGGUAACGGGGAAUUGGGGUUCGAUUCCGGAGAGGGAGCCUGAGAAAUGGCUACCACUUCCAAGGAAGGCAGCAGG